rnacentral:rRNA from 1 species
CAGUCGCCGCGGUAAUACAGAGGGUGCGAGCGUUAAUCGGAUUUACUGGGCGUAAAGCGUGCGUAGGCGGCUUCUUAAGUCGGAUGUGAAAUCCCUGAGCUUAACUUAGGAAUUGCAUUCGAUACUGGGAAGCUAGAGUAUGGGAGAGGAUGGUAGAAUUCCAGGUGUAGCGGUGAAAUGCGUAGAGAUCUGGAGGAAUACCGAUGGCGAAGGCAGCCAUCUGGCCUAAUACUGAUGCUGAGGUACGAAAGCAUGGGGAGCAAACAGGAUUAGAUACCCGAGUAGUCCCUGUCUCUUAUAC